rnacentral:rRNA from 1 species
UACGUAGGGGGCAAGCGUUAUCCGGAUUUACUGGGUGUAAAGGGAGCGUAGACGGCCAGACAAGUCUGAAGUGAAAAUCCAGCGCUUAACGUUGGAAGUGCUUUGGAAACUGCCGGGCUAGAGUGCAGGAGGGGCAGGCGGAAUUCCUAGUUUAGCGGUGAAAUGCGUAGAUAUUAGGAGGAACACCAGUGGCGAAGGCGGCCUGCUGGACUGCAACUGACGUUGAGGCUCGAAGGCGUGGGGAGCAAACAGG